ensembl:lncRNA
GCGCGAUGUGGGACACCAACUUGACCAUGUACUACUGGAGUAAUACUACAGUACUCUAUAUAUAUAUAUACACUACUCUCUACCUGUCUGUCUUUGACUAACGGUUUGUAUCUAUGUCUCUCUACAUGUCUGUCUCUCUCUCUACAUGUCUGUCUCUCUCUCUACAUGUCUGUCUCUCUCUCUCUCAUGUCUGUCUCUCUCUCUCUCAUGUCUGUCUCUCUCUCACUCAUGUCUGUGUCUCUCUCUACAUGUCUCUCUCUCUCUACAUGUCUCUCUCUCUCUCUCUACAUGUCUGUCUCUCUCUCUACAUGUCUGUCUCUCUCUCUACAUGUCUGUCUCUCUCUCUCUACAUGUCUGUCUCUCUCUCUACAUGUCUCUCUCUCUCUACAUGUCUGUCUCUCUCUCUCUCUCUACAUGUCUGUCUCUCUCUCUACAUGUCUGUCUCUCUCUCUCUACAUGUCUGUCUCUCUCUCUCUACAUGUCUGUCUCUCUCUCUACACGCCUGUCUGCAGGUUCGACGCGGUCACCCAUAACUGCUACACCUACUGCCUGGGCUUCAUCAACCGGGUCCUGGAGGUCGAAGGUCGCGGGCCCCUGACCCCGGAGCAGUUCACCGAGCGCUACGUCUUGCCACGCACCACCAGGGCGCACAGGUUCAACGGCCUCCUUCAGGUCCUCAAGAAGAAGCCCUACCACCUGCUGGAGAGACAGACGGGUAGCGAGAGAGGCAGCCUGGCAGGGAGCGACACAGGCAGCCAGGUCAAGAGUGAGACAGGCAAGUAGAGAGAGAGAGACUGGUAGCGAGAGAGAGACAGGCAAAGAGAGAGAGAGACUGGUAGCGAGAGAGAGACAGGCAAGUAGAGAGAGAGAGACUGGUAGUGAGAGAGAGACAGGCAAGUAGAGAGAGAGAGACAGGUAGUGAGAGAGAGACAGGCAAGUAGAGAGAGAGAGAGACUGGAGAGAGAGAGAGACAGGCAAGUAGAGAGAGAGAGACUGGUAGUGAGAGAGACAGGCAAGUAGAGAGAGAGAGAGACUGGUAGUGAGAGAGAGACAGGCAAGUAGAGAGAGAGAGACAGGUAGUGAGAGAGAGACAGGCAA